CGGCGGGCGCAUGCUUAACAUGCAGUCGAACGGCAGCACGGGUGCUUGCACCUGGUGGCGAGUGGCGAACGGGUGAGUAAUACAUCGGAACAUGUCCUGUAGUGGGGGAUAGCCCGGCGAAAGCCGGAUUAAUACCGCAUACGAUCUAAGGAUGAAAGCGGGGGACCUUCGGGCCUCGCGCUAUAGGGUUGGCCGAUGGCUGAUUAGCUAGUUGGUGGGGUAAAGGCCUACCAAGGCGACGAUCAGUAGCUGGUCUGAGAGGACGACCAGCCACACUGGGACUGAGACACGGCCCAGACUCCUACGGGAGGCAGCAGUGGGGAAUUUUGGACAAUGGGCGAAAGCCUGAUCCAGCAAUGCCGCGUGUGUGAAGAAGGCCUUCGGGUUGUAAAGCACUUUUGUCCGGAAAGAAAUCCCUGGUCCUAAUAUGGCCGGGGGAUGACGGUACCGGAAGAAUAAGCACCGGCUAACUACGUGCCAGCAGCCGCGGUAAUACGUAGGGUGCGAGCGUUAAUCGGAAUUACUGGGCGUAAAGCGUGCGCAGGCGGUUUGUUAAGACCGAUGUGAAAUCCCCGGGCUCAACCUGGGAACUGCAUUGGUGACUGGCAAGCUAGAGUAUGGCAGAGGGGGGUAGAAUUCCACGUGUAGCAGUGAAAUGCGUAGAGAUGUGGAGGAAUACCGAUGGCGAAGGCAGCCCCCUGGGCCAAUACUGACGCUCAUGCACGAAAGCGUGGGGAGCAACAGAAAACCC
rnacentral:rRNA from 1 species